AGCCCCUGGCUAUGGGCAAAGAGACACCUGACUGGUGGUGGUGCUCUUAUAUCAGUCAGGGGCAAAGCAGACUGGCAGCCCUUUGUUCAUCCUAGCUUGAUGCCUAGAUCGUGGCCAGAGCUGUUUCAUGCCUAGGGCACAUAA
rnacentral:snoRNA from 15 species